GGUGCAUUAGCAGGAAGCUAGAUCAAAAGUGGAGCAGCCAGGAGUCAGACUGGCGCUCACAUGGGAUGCUGGUGUUGCAGCAAAUCAUGGAAACCGGAAUUCCUGUUCCUCAAGGUGGCCCUGCCUCACCAACUGUCUGCUAUUCCCGCCAGGAACUGUGGUACCCGAGCAAGUGCAAACAAAGGAGCACCAUACAUUGAUAAAAUCUGAUGGUCCUUUAUUGCCAGCAGUGGAGAGUGGGCUCAUGCCCUCAAGAACUCUCGACCCUGAAGCCCAAAGUAACAGGGUUUAUAAAGGCAAAAACCACCAAAUUGGGAGGGGAAUUCAUGGUUACCGGGGUCAAGCUGACCUAAAACCUAUG